AUACGGAGGGUCCAAGCGUUAUCCGGAAUCAUUGGGUUUAAAGGGUGCGCAGGCGGUUUAUUAAGUCGGUGGUGAAAUCUCGAGGCUCAACCUCGAAACUGCCAUUGAUACUGAUAAACUUGAGUUCAGUUGGAGUAGGCGGAAUGUGUAGUGUAGCGGUGAAAUGCUUAGAUAUUACACAGAACACCGAUAGCGAAGGCAGCUUACUAAACUGAUACUGACGCUGAGGCACGAAAGCGUGGGGAGCGAACAGGAUUAGAAACCCUAGUAGUCC
rnacentral:rRNA from 1 species